UUUUAAAUUAAAGGGCUGCAGUAAUUUGACUGUACAAAGGUAGCAUAAUCAUUAGUCAUUUAAUUGAUGACUUGUAUGAAAGAUUGGAUGAAAUAUAAACUGUCUCUUAAUUAAAAAUAAAAUUUAAUUUUUUAAUUAAAAAGUUAAAAUAAAUUAAAAAGACGAGAAGACCCUAUAGAGUUUAAUAAAUUAUUUAAUUAAGAUUAUUUAUAAAUUUAAAAUUAAAAUUAAUUAAUUUAUUUUGUUGGGGUGACAGAAAAAUAAAUAUAACUUUUUUUUAUUAAGAACAUAUAUAAGUGGUUAGAUGAUCCAAUAUUAUUGAUUAUAAGAAAAAAUUACCUUAGGGAUAACAGCGUAAUUUUUUUUUUUAGUUCAUAUAAAAAAAA
rnacentral:rRNA from 1 species